rnacentral:tRNA from 1 species
GUCCUUGUAGCGCAAUGGACAGCGCGUUGGACUUCUAAUCCAUUAGUCGUGGAUUUGAAUUCCACCUGGGAUG